GGAUCUGAUGUGCUGGAUUACAUAUUUGCUUUGCCCUGCAGCUCCUCUCCAUCCUCCACCAUGCUGCUCUCACCCUGGCAGGCUGGCCUGUAUCAACUGCAGCAGCAAGCUCUCUUGUCCUUAGGCUUCCAGUUGGGUUCCACCAAGGGGAGCCACCAUCAGGAGAUGCCAGUUUCAGGGAGAGUGAGUUGAGGUAUUUAUUCCCUCAACUCCUGCUCUGCUGAACUAUGGGUUGUCUGGGGGCCUCAGUGGAAGUCUGCAGCUCCCAUCAGAGCUUAGCACUCUUUUCUCUAUCCACAUUUAUAGCCGCCUCACUUUCUUUUGUCCUUGCAGCCCUAAGGGUGGCAAAACGAGCCCUCUCAGUAUUUCUCUGUCUUUUGUUGAUUUCAUUUUACUUGUAUACGCUUUUGUAAAUUGCUCUGUCUUUAAACUCUCCUCCAUUACUCUGCCUGAACAUGCCUCCUGGGACAUUGUCGAUAUCCUGCCUGACUGUCGUGGUUUCCAGUUCAGUACUUUUUUGCCCACACUAUGCUGGGUGGAAGCAUGGAGAUAAAAGAAGGAUUGCUUUCAUGGAAAUGAGUUUUACUCCUUUAUUCAAAAAUCACGUUUUCUUGGAAAUAUUUUGAUAGGCCCACCUGGCUACUGAAGAAAUUUGCAAACCUAAUGAAAAUAUGAAACAACCCCAGUUCCAGGCCAGCCCCCACAUUGGCUGUCCAUCCCUGUGAGGUUGCAUUCUCCCAAGCAUUUGUCGAGCUGUCCAAGAGCCCUACAACACUCUCCAGUGGGGAAGCAGGCAAAUUUGGACACAGCAGAUGUCUGCUCCUGAAGACAGCUGGAAAUAACCACGUCUGAUAGAAUCAGCCAUGAGAGCGGGGCAGCACUGUUGUGUGUAAACAGCGUGUUAUCUCUGAGACUCUUAGACAGUGACACAAGCAGCCCCAGGCUCAACCUGUCCUCGAAACAGCAGUGAAGACACUUCACAUCUAGUCUUGUCCACAUAGAAUGAGAAUCACAGGCUUUUAGGACUGAAAGCCCCUUGGAGAUCAUGUCACAAGCCUCUCGUUUUGCAGAUUAACACCGAAAACAAAACCUAUAGACAAGGGGAUAUGUGGAGAAGUGUGAUAUUUAUAAUUGUCACAUAUGCAUGCCAGGAUCCCUAUGUAUUAUUUUAUUGGGCUUAAGCUAGUACAUUUGUUUCCUUCCAAAGAGUUAACUCUGCAUAUCGACAAAAUUUCAUACAAUUUAGCCUUAGAUAUAAAAGUAAAUAUUUAGGUCCACCCUCAAUCCCAGGAGACCCUCAGGACAAGUGACAUCACUAAUUAUGUGGUUACUCCAUGCCAGCCUUUGUCUGGGACCAGGCACUGAAGAUACA
rnacentral:lncRNA from 1 species